rnacentral:rRNA from 1 species
GAUGAACGCUAGCGGCAGGCCUAAUACAUGCAAGUCGAACGAGAUUAAGAGGCUUGCUUCUUAUGAAAGUGGCGCACGGGUGCGUAACGCGUAUGCAACCUACCUUAAUCAGGGGGAUAGCCCGAAGAAAUUCGGAUUAAGACCGCAUAAAAACACAGGAUAGCAUUAUCCAAUGUUCAAAUAUUUAUAGGAUUAAGAUGGGCAUGCGUGUCAUUAGCUAGUUGGCGGGGUAACGGCCCACCAAGGCGACGAUGACUAGGGGAUCUGAGAGGAUGACCCCCCACACCGGUACUGAGACACGGACCAGACUCCUACGGGAGGCAGCAGUAAGGAAUAUUGGUCAAUGGAGGGAACUCUGAACCAGCCAUGCCGCGUGCAGGAAGACAGCCCUCUGGGUCGUAAACUGCUUUUAUUCGGGAAUAAACCUUUCUACGUGUAGGAAGCUGAAUGUACCGAAGGAAUAAGGAUCGGCUAACUCCGUG